AGCCUGUGAUGAUCAAAUCAAAUAACUUUUCUGACAUCUACUAUGAGAGCUUUCAGCUCAUGAUUAUAUCUUUAUUCUGAGGCUC